GCCGAAAUAGCUCAGUUGGGAGAGCGUUAGACUGAAGAUCUAAAGGUCCCUGGUUGAAUCCUGGGUUUCGGCA